rnacentral:tRNA from 1 species
UCUAAAUUGACAGACUAAUGUGAUGGAUUUAAAAUCCAUUUAUAAAAAAUUUAUUUUUAUUUAGAA